rnacentral:rRNA from 1 species
GAUCAUGGCUCAGAUUGAACGCUGGCGGCAGGCUUAACACAUGCAAGUCGAACGAUGAUACCUAGCUUGCUAGGUUGAUUAGUGGCGAACGGGUGAGUAACAUUUAGGAAUCUACCUUUUAGUGGGGGAUAGCUCGGGGAAACUCGAAUUAAUACCGCAUACGACCUACGGGUGAAAGGGGCGCGAGCUCUUGCUAGGAGAUGAGCCUAAAUCAGAUUAGCUAGUUGGUGGGGUAAAGGNUUACCAAGCG